UUAAAACCUUAUCCUAGGCGCAGUGCCUCACGCCUAUAAUCCCAGCACUUUGCGAGGCUGAGGCCAGUGGAUUGCUCGAGCCUAGGAGUUCGAGACCAGCCUGGGAAACAUGGUGAAAUCCCAUCUCUACAAAAAAUACAAAAUAAAAUUAGCUGGGUGUGGUGGCCCGCACCUGUAGUCCCAGCUACUCAGGAGGCUGGGGUGGGAGGAUCCUUUGAGCCCAGGAAGUGAAGGCUGCAGUGAGCUGUGAUUGCACCACUGCACUCAAGCCUGGGUGACAGGGCAAGACACUGUCUCCAAAAAAAAAAUUAAAAAAAAAAACAAAACCAAAACAAAACACCCACACCCACACAACUCCACAACCUUAUCCUAGAACACUUCCCCUAUGUAAGUCUUCCUCAUCUUAGGAAGGAGGUUCUCAGAGUGCAUCAGCUGGUGUUGCUGAUGAAGGAAUUAGCUCACCUGGAAACCGACCUUGUCCUUUCUGAAAGAACCAUGCCAAAUUUUGGGGUGCCUUGUCAGGGCAAUCACUGGAAGUGUCUCACAUGCAACAAUUUUAAAAUGCAUCUUACAUGAGUCACUGAGAGAUGACUUCUUUGUCCUGGCAGAGCCCUGAUUCCACCAGCCUUGGCAGCCCUUUCUCAGCAUUCUCAGAUGGGAUUGAAUAAACACUCUGGUUUUAUUUAGAAGUCACUCUCAUUUAGUAACCAACGAGCUGCUGGGGGAAAUCACGAAAUGUAACAGAAAUGGCCAUUUCUUUUUAUGUUUUAUUUUUUAUUAUUUUUUUGAGACAGGGUCUCACUCUGGCACCCAGGCCAGAGUGCAGUGGUGACCAUUGCUCACUGCAGCCAUUGUGCCCAGAAAUAGCCAUUUCUAAAAGAGGGUAACAAUGAUUUUCAACUUUUGUAGUUCAUAAUUUCCUCUGUUUCUUUUUUCCCCCCUUUUCUUGGCAGCAGUCUUAUGUACAUUUGCAUGAUGUGGGUAGGAAAGCCAGGG
rnacentral:lncRNA from 10 species